CGCUAGCUCGGGCACUGUAGCAAAAAAUGUAGAGUACACCAGCAAAAAUGUCUUCUCUCCUGUCUCUCUCUCUCUCGGUCUCUUCUACUCCCCUCCCUCUCUCUUUCUCCGACGCCAAGUCGCCAACAGGGUUACAGGGGUGAUGGCUAUGGCGACGGCGCUGGGCGCGAGCGGUGCGCCAUGGCUGCCCUCGUCCUCCUCCUCGUCCUCCUCUCUCCCCUUCCCUCCCACAGCGGCGGCGACAGACGCGAGGCAACAACCUCUGGCACCAACAGGUAGUGGCGACGCCUGCCCCCUACCAUCCUGAUGCGGCGGCAGCCGGCGCGGCCAGCUCGUGUGUCCAGCCCAGGACGACGCACCGGUGACUCCGCUGCUCCCUCUCCCACCCCCCACGUCCUCUCCCUUUCUCUCUCCCCACGACCGCGGCUAUGUCUGCUCCCAGGAAAUCCUAGGUGCCAUGGUAGCCUCGAAUCUAGCCGCAGGGCGUCCGCAGAAGGGCGCUGCAGCUUCUAGGUGAGGGAGGCUUCCUAGCGAGCCAGCGGCGCAGAUCUAGGGGGGCCUCGACGCAGCGGUGGCACGGUCAGGGCCCGGUGCGGUAGCCCCUCCCUUCCUCUCUCCAAGCGGGGCAGCCACACCCGUUGCGCGGAGUCAGAGAAUGCCACAUGCUCCCUUUUAUCUGUCUGCGAUUUGAUCCACAAUGCUCAGGACAAUGGACCGAUAGGAGACUACUAUAUCAACAGGUGUUCCAUCUUGCAUAUGGUGGGAAAUGGCUGCAUAGCUCAGACUGGUUGUCAUCAAGCAAUGGGAGAUAGACUAAAAGCAAUUAUUCUCUACAUUAUGUUCUGUUAGAUUGUCCUUUCAUCUUUGGCAAACAAUAUUACUGAAGAAAAGACAUCGCCUGAAAAUUCA